AAUCUUCCUCAAUUGACGAACGUCUGACGGAGCAACGCCGCGUGAGUGAUGAAUGUUUUCGUUUCGUACGACCCUGUUGUUAGGGAAGAACAAGUAUCUGAGUCACUGACGGUACCUUAACUGUACCUUACGAGAAAGCCACGGCUAACUACGUGCCAGCAGCCGCGGUAAUAAGUAGGUGGCAAGCGUUGUCCGGAUUUAUUGGGCGUAAAGCGCGCGCAGGCGGUCUUUUAAGUCUGAUGUGAAAUCUUACAGCUUAACUGUAAGCGGUCAUUGGAAACUGGGAGACUUGAGUGCAGAAGAGGAGAGUGGAAUUCCAUGUGUAGCGGUGAAAUGCGUAGAGAUAUGGAGGAACACCAGUGGCGAAGGCGACUCUCUGGUCUGUAACUGACGCUGAGGCGCGAAAGCGUGGGGAUCAAACA
rnacentral:rRNA from 1 species